rnacentral:rRNA from 1 species
AACCUGCAGAAGGAUCAUUGUCGAUGCCUCACAAUCAGAUUAAUAGGCAAAUUUGUUUAUCCAUCUACUAGCAGGCAAGUAAGGGUCGGGUCGGCCACAUCUUGGGGUGUUCACAUGAACCAUGUAUUUCAUGUCCGUCCUCCCCUUGCUUUGCCUGUUGCGUUAGGAGGGAUGGGACCCAAAUCUUCUUUGUCACUACAAACACAAAUCCUUAUGCUUAGUGCGCCAAGGAACUCUAAUAUGUUAAGUGCAAUUCCCAACGGCCUGGACAUGGUGCUCCGCGGGCAUCAUCACGACACGCAUUAUAUACAAAAUGACUCUCGACAACGGAUAUCUUGGCUCUUGCAUCAAUGAAGAAUGUAGCGAAGUGCGAUACUUGGUGUGAAUUGCAGAAUCCCGUGAACGAUCGAGUCUUUAACACAAGUUGUGCCCGAAGCCAUAAGGUUGAGGGCACGCUUGCCUAGGUGUCACACAUCGUUAACCCAACGCAAACAAAUGUCUCCCGCGAUAGCCGUUACGUAGCGGGGUGCACGUUGACCUCCUAUGAGCACAGUCUCGUGGUUAGUUCAAAAUCGAGUUCGUGGCCAGGUACGCCGUGAUAAAAUGGUGGAUUAGUAAUGCUCGAGACCAAUCACGCACCGCGACUCGGUCAGUUCCGAACUCCCUCACGACCCUCUGUGUCUCUUCUGAGACGCUUUCAAUGAGACCUCAGGUCAGGCAGGGCUACCCACUGAGUUUAAGCAUAUCAAUAAGCGGAGGA